CAUGUGAACAGCGGCUUGCAGGGUCAGUCGGUAGAAAGAGAUGUCCUACUGGCCUGCCAAGUCGGUGCUUACAUG
rnacentral:pre_miRNA from 1 species